AAUACCAAUUCUUGAUAUAAAAACAUUGAUUCAUAACAGUUAAAUCUCACAAUGAUUUGUCAUUCAUUCACUUAUAUUAAAAACACAAUGACAGGUAUCUGUAUUUUUAUUUUAUUUACUUGUAAUUAGUUCAUUGCUAAUAUGUUCAAUAAAUUACAAAGUAACUAGUACAAAUAUACAGGACCAACUCAUCGCCAUAAUCAUAUGCUAGAUUUAAUUCUGUCAUAUGGAGUUGAUGUUGAUACUAUAGAAAUUCUACCACAGAGUGAUGACAUCUCAGAUCAUUACCUCGUCUCUUGUUUGCGGUGAUCAGCUAAUGUCACUCAGUCUACACCACUCUAUUGUUCAGGUAGAACUAUUCUUUCAAACACUAAAGAUAGCUUCACUAAUAAUCUUCCAGAAUGGUCUCAUACACUCAGUAAGCCCUAUAGUUUAGAAGUACUUGAACAAUAUCAGAAAAUAUAAAUAGCCUUCUCUAGCACUCUUGAUAGUGUCACCCCCUUCGAAUAAAGACAAUUAAAGAAAAAAGCUCCACACCAUGGUACAAUGAUCACACUCAUGCUCUCAAGAGAGCAGCACGGAAAAUGGAGCGCAAGUGGAAGAAUACAAAAUUAGAGGUAUUUUGCGGUGCAUGGAAGGAUAGUGUCUGUUGCUACAGACAGGCACUAAAAGCUGCCAGGUCAGCAUAUUUUAGCAAACUCUUAGAAAAUAACCAAAACAAUCCUAGGUGUUUAUUCAAUACAGUGGUAAAAUUGGUUAGGAAUAAAACCUCGACUGAACCAGAUAUUCCAAUAUUUAGCCAGGCAUACACCUAAUUUAUCCUUCACCACACAAUUAGGCUGCUUUAGUUGGGUCUGCCGGAACCUGAAACAUUCCAUUGCCUGAACCUUGGAUUUAGGAUAGACCUCACCGAAAUUACCGGCCGGUUGAACUGUGAAGCACCUGACUGAUCUCGGCCUGCAUCACCUUUGUCUACUGAUGGACUACACUCUUAAAAUGGAAUACAUAGACUAUCAAUAAAUUUUCAACAUUCAAUAUUCAACAGUGACAACAAACUGCUACACUAGGUAACGUUAUCUUAGAGAUGGAAUACAGCAAACGGCCGGCUCCCAGCACAAUACCGACUCCUACAAAAACUCUAAGCCAAAAAAAAAAAAAAAAAAACACAUUUGUCUACUGAAUCCCAACUGGUUAAGCGGGAACAUGAUCGUGGUCGAGCAAAAACUAGAGUGAACUUCGGCAGGGCAUUUGAUUCCUGGAGGGACCUUCGUUCGGUUUUGGGGAUCAAAACCGACCCUGAAUUGGCGUUCUUAUUGGACAGGCAGGAAUAAUAUCUGGACAGUCGGUCAUACUAGUAUGGCUAAAGGAUAUUGUCAAUCAUUUUUGGUUUUGUUGCCAGAAGGCAGGAGUUCAUGGGUAUGUGGCUUGGGGUGAUUCAUCAUGCCUGUGGCGUGCAUGAAUGGGCCCUUGGCAGAUGUCAGCAUCAACCACUGGGUGUGGCAAGCUGUGACAGAGUGCAUGGUAUCUGGUUCUGCAGCACAUGAGACACUCUCACAAAUUGUGCUCAACAGACACUGGCUGACGGAUGUUGAGAAGUUUCUGAUCUUUCGGUAAAACUAAAGAACAUUUUAUUGUCUACAAUAUGUGUUCGUUUUUUGGAUUUACAAAAGCUCUAUGUGGGAAUAGUAAUAGUAUUGAGAAACGAUCAAUAUGAUGAGAUGUUUGUGUAAUUAGCAUAUGUCAAAUGUAGUUGUAUUGAUUGAUGAAUCUUUGAAAAUGUUGUCUUUGAAUUACAGGUCAACUUCAGAUCUCAUGGAUCACAAAUAAAAUAUUUUAGAGAUAUGAUCCAUUUAUCUCCAUACAAUGCAAGGCAUAAAGGCGGCAAAAAGGUUGCAAGACUUUCUUAACAACAAAUCUUAACAUAAGCAGUCUCCUAGCCCUAGAUUUCAAGCUCAGGUCUCCAAGAUUUCAAGUUUGAUUACACUUCCUGGCACCAUUUAGCAUUCUGGCAUGCGUCAAACACUAUGAAGUGUAAUUGAGCUUGAAAUCAUAAUUGGCUACGAGACUGCUGAUGUCAAGAUAGAUGGCGAAAAAGGAGUUACAGUUUAGUCUGUUCUCACACAAAACUGAUCGGAUCGCUUCAGAAGACAUAGUUUUAACCA